rfam:Apis mellifera strain DH4 linkage group 11, whole genome shotgun sequence.
GUCCAGUAUUCCUGGCUGUGGAAGCUGGCGAACGUCACCCAGUCCCCGUACAGUUACCUGUGGACCAAUACCAGCACCGCGCCUGAAUUAGUUGCGGGAC